GUCUGUUUCAUCAACUAGUGCUAUUUCUAAUAGCUGCAGGAUAUAACUCUGAAACAUUGAAUCAUCGCCGUUGCAAAUCCAUUUUUCCAGGCAACACAAGGCAAACUCUACAGAAAGCUGAAUAGCCACCACAAUUACAGGUUCAACUCGCUCAACUGAUAAAGAUCGAGUGGAGUUGACAAGCGCAAGUGCGAGGGAAGCUAGUGCUUGAAUCUGUGACUGAUCCCAAAGUUGAAGCCCUAACUUGUUGGCAUCAUCGGCUGUGGGUUCUACUGAUUGCCGGAGAAUUAAACAUAGUUUCUGGAACCCUAGAUUGAGUGAUGAAUCAGCGCGAAGUCUUCUAGAGAGAUCAUCGCCUGAUGAGAGAACAUCGACG
rnacentral:misc_RNA from 1 species